rnacentral:rRNA from 1 species
GAUGAACGCUGGCGGCGUGCCUAAUACAUACAAGUCGAGCGAACAGAUAAGGAGCUUGCUCCUUUGACGUUAGCGGCGGACGGGUGAGUAACACGUGGGUAACCUACCUAUAAGACUGGGAUAACUUCGGGAAACCGGAGCUAAUACCGGAUAAUAUUUCGAACCGCAUGGUUCGAUAGUGAAAGAUGGUUUUGCUAUCACUUAUAGAUGGACCCGCGCCGUAUUAGCUAGUUGGUAAGGUAACGGCUUACCAAGGCGACGAUACGUAGCCGACCUGAGAGGGUGAUCGGCCACACUGGAACUGAGACACGGUCCAGACUCCUACGGGAGGCAGCAGUAGGGAAUCUUCCGCAAUGGGCGAAAGCCUGACGGAGCAACGCCGCGUGAGUGAUGAAGGUCUUCGGAUCGUAAAACUCUGUUAUUAGGGAAGAACAUACGUGUAAGUAACUGUGCACGUCUUGACGGUACCUAAUCAGAAAGCCACGGCUAACUACGUG